rnacentral:rRNA from 1 species
ACCAACUGGGAUUACCUUAGUAACGGCGAGUGAAGCGGUAAAAGCUCAAAUUUGAAAUCUGGUACUUUCAGUGCCCGAGUUGUAAUUUGUAGAAUUUGUCUUUGAUUAGGUCCUUGUCUAUGUUCCUUGGAACAGGACGUCAUAGAGGGUGAGAAUCCCGUUUGGCGAGGAUACCUUUUCUCUGUAAGACUUUUUCGAAGAGUCGAGUUGUUUGGGAAUGCAGCUCAAAGUGGGUGGUAAAUUCCAUCUAAAGCUAAAUAUUGGCGAGAGACCGAUAGCGAACAAGUACAGUGAUGGAAAGAUGAAAAGAACUUUGAAAAGAGAGUGAAAAAGUACGUGAAAUUGUUGAAAGGGAAGGGCAUUUGAUCAGACAUGGUGUUUUUUGCAUGCACUCGCCUCUCGUGGGCUUGGGCCUCUCAAAAAUUUCACUGGGCCAACAUCAAUUCUGGCAGCAGGAUAAAUCAUUAAGAAUGUAGCUACUUCGGUAGUGUUAUAGCUUUUUGGAAUACUGUUAGCCGGGAUUGAGGACUGCGCUUCGGCAAGGAUGUUGGCAUAAUGGUUAAAUGCCGCCCGUCUUAA